CUCGUCCCCACUUGAUACGCACUCAUGAUCGUCAUUGUAACCAUGGCGAUAUUUAGGUAAUUGGUAGUUAUUUUACCAUGAAGCUUGUUAGGUGUUAUAUUUGGACGGGUGAUUAAUUAUUUGAAUGGUAUUUGUAGAGCAAAAUAUCGUGGUUUGGAGUUUGAAAUCUGCCGCUAGUGAGUCGUGUGAACAGCUUUAUAGUAGGGGAGAUCAGUUGUGUUUUUCCACGUGUUUUGUAUGUACCCAACACGCCGGAAAGUGUCGAGUAAAUGUGUCCUCUCAACACAUUGGAUUGUAAAUAGUCGGUCUGCACUUUUAAGUUUCAUAGAAUGUUGUGGCUUGGAAAUAAUGUAUUUUUAUUUCCCUUUCCCUAUCAAGCAAGCCACUGCUGUUGUCUAUUAUGGUGUAAUUUUCUUUAAUCCGUUAGAUAAUUUUCUUUGAUCUCUUAGAUCCUUUUUCGAACUUUUUUAAAAUCCUGUUAACAUCUCAGUCUUUCAUCUUAAUGCUGUACAAAUUUUUAUUGUUCAGUCGAGAAUAAAGCCCACAUAAAAAUUA